rnacentral:rRNA from 1 species
GAUGAACGCUGGCGGCGUGCCUAAUACAUGCAAGUCGAGCGAACAGAUGAGGAGCUUGCUCCUUUGACGUUAGCGGCGGACGGGUGAGUAACACGUGGGUAACCUACCUAUAAGACUGGGAUAACUUCGGGAAACCGGAGCUAAUACCGGAUAACAUUUGGAACCGCAUGGUUCUAAAGUGAAAGAUGGUUUUGCUAUCACUUAUAGAUGGACCCGCGCCGUAUUAGCUAGUUGGUAAGGUAACGGCUUACCAAGGCAACGAUACGUAGCCGACCUGAGAGGGUGAUCGGCCACACUUGAACUGAGACACGGUCCAGACUCCUACGGGAGGCAGCAGUAGGGAAUCUUCCGCAAUGGGCGAAAGCCUGACGGAGCAACGCCGCGUGAGUGAUGAAGGGUUUCGGUUCGUAAAACUCUGUGAUUAGGGAAGAACAAAUGUGUAAGUAACUAUGCACGUCUUGACGGUACCUAAUCAGAAAGCCACGGCUAACUACGUG